UGGAAACUNUCUGACUUGAGUGCAGAAGGGGAGAGUGGAAUUCCAUGUGUAGCGGUGAAAUGCGUAGAUAUAUGGAGGAACACCAGUGGCGAAAGCGGCUCUCUGGUCUGUCACUGACGCUGAGGCUCGAAAGCGUGGGUAGCGAACAGGAUUAGAUACCCUGGUAGUNCACGCCGUAAACGAUGAGUGCUAGGUGUUAGGCCCUUUCCGGGGCUUAGUGCCGGAGCUAACGCAAUAAGCACUCCGCCUGGGGAGUACGACCGCAAGGUUGAAACUCAAAGGAAUUGACGGGGGCCCGCACAAGCGGUGGAGCAUGUGGUUUAAUUCGAAGCAACGCGAAGAACCUUACCAGGUCUUGACAUCCCGAUGCUAUUCUUAGAGAUAGGAAGUUACUUCGGUACAUCGGAGACAGGUGGUGCAUGGUUGUCGUCAGCUCGUGUCGUGAGAUGUUGGGUUAAGUCCCGCAACGAGCGCAACCCUUAUUGUUAGUUGCCAUCAUUAAGUUGGGCACUCUAGCGAGACUGCCGGUAAUAAACCGGAGGAAGGUGGGGAUGACGUCAAAUCAUCAUGCCCCUUAUGACCUGGGCUACACACGUGCUACAAUGGUCGGUACAACGAGUUGCGAGCCGGUGACGGCAAGCUAAUCUCUGAAAGCCGAUCUCAGUUCGGAUUGGAGGCUGCAACUCGCCUCCAUGAAGUCGGAAUCGCUAGUAAUCGCGGAUCAGCACGCCGCGGUGAAUACGUUCCCGGGCCUUGUACACACCGCCCGUCACACCACGAGAGUUUGUAACACCCGAAGUCGGUGAGGUAACCUUUUAGGGGCC
rnacentral:rRNA from 1 species